GACGAACGCUGGCGGCGUGCCUAACACAUGCAAGUCGAGCGGUCUGAUGUUCAAUCUAUUGAACAAAAGGCAGCGGCGGACGGGUGAGUAACACGUGGGUAAUCUGCCCUACGGACCGGGAUAACACACCGAAAGGGGUGCUAAUACCGGAUAAAGUCAUCAUAUGGCAUCAUAAGAUGAAGAAAGGAGAAAUCCGCCAAAGGAGGAGCCCGCGUCCCUUUAGUUAGUUGGCGGGGUAAAAGCCCACCAAGGCGACGAUGGGUAGCCGGCCUGAGAGGGUGAACGGCCACACUGGAACUGAGACACGGUCCAGACUCCUACGGGAGGCAGCAUG
rnacentral:rRNA from 1 species